CUCUUCCGAUCUACAAAAUGCAUGAAGAUAAAACAUCAGGCAUAAUACAUUGGCCUCGGUCAAAAGUAUUGGAACUGAUUUCCCUUCAUGUAGAACAUAAGGAGAUGUUUAAUUUUCCUAACAUCACUAAAAUUAAGGUUCAGUAAAUAUAUAUUUUAAUAAAAUAUUAACAUUUUCACUUCAAAUUGGUGUUUCUUAUGAAUAAUUAUAUAGUAUUAUUAUAUUUUAUAUAUAAUUCUUAUUGCUUAUAUAUAAAGAUGUGAAGAGUUAUCUGUUCAAAACUUUGAGAAGCAUCAUUUCCUGUUAAAUUAGAGCAGGUGGAGUAAAUGGAGUGGGUUAAAAAAACUUUAAAAAAUGUCAAAGAUCAUAAUAAUAAAUAUGGGAAUAAUGCUUGCUUUUGGGAAUUUUUCAAUGCCAUGCUCGAUCCCAGAGAUCUCUCCUGUUGCUGUAUGUAGAAGCAGCAGCAACUGUGUUGAGCUUUCUAUAUCAUUAGAAACUUCAAGUUUUGCAUUGCCUAUACCUUCUCCAUUGCCAUCAGAAACCCCCAGUUCUGAAUCAUCAAUGCUCAAUCUCCAUCAUCAUCACCUGUUUCUGCUUCUACUCAUUCUCAGGGCCAAGAAAGAAGAAGAGGGAAAUUAAUAUGAUAACAGACCUUCUUUCAGAAAUGAAGGAAGACAUCAGAACCAGACAAGAGUGAAUGGAAGGAAGAGAGAAGACAAUUGAUGUCACUUUUAGAAAAAAUUGUUGAAAAAUAAAAAUAAUCAUUUUAUAAUUGCCAAUGCUCAAUGGUUAUUAAUUU
rnacentral:lncRNA from 1 species